rnacentral:rRNA from 1 species
AGUGAACGCUGGCGGUAGGCCUAACACAUGCAAGUCGAACGGCAGCACAGUAAGAGCUUGCUCUUACGGGUGGCGAGUGGCGGACGGGUGAGGAAUACAUCGGAAUCUACUUUUUCGUGGGGGAUAACGUAGGGAAACUUACGCUAAUACCGCAUACGACCUACGGGUGAAAGCAGGGGAGCUUCGGACCUUGCGCGAUUGAAUGAGCCGAUGUCGGAUUAGCUAGUUGGCGGGGUAAAGGCCCACCAAGGCGACGAUCCGUAGCUGGUCGGAGAGGAUGAUCAGCCACAUUGGAACUGAGACCCGGUCCAGACUCCUACGGGAGGCAGAAGUGGGGAAUAUUGGACAAUGGGCGCAAGCCUGAUCCAGCCAUACCGCGUGGGUGAAGAAGGCCUUCGGGUUGUAAAGCCCUUUUGUUGGGAAAGAAAAGCAGCAGGUUAAUACCCCGCUGUUCUGACGGUACCCAAAGAAUAAGCACCGGCUAACUUCGUG